GGUUGGUCUGAAGGUACCGAGUGACCUCACUCCUGUCCUCACUCAGUUAGACUGGACCACUUUUCCUGUGCUUCCCACCUUCUCACUACUGCAUUUGACUCAUUUUUU
ensembl:misc_RNA Y_RNA Y RNA